AGUCGUGUGGUGAGCACAGAGCGAACUAUUCUUUCGCCUUUUACUAAAGAAUACCGUGUGCUCGCUACUUAAAACGGCAUACGCCAAUUUUUGGAGUGGGCAUUCUAAGGAAUGCCU
rfam:Corchorus capsularis cultivar CVL-1 contig14578, whole genome shotgun sequence.